rnacentral:lncRNA from 1 species
UGGGCCUGUGCUCCAGGCCAACCUACGGAGACCUGGAUGAGCAAAAAAAACCUCAAGGAGUCAGGAACGGGCCCUGGCACCCCUGUCACUGCCCAAGUGGAUUUCCAUGCAGAAAGGAUGUCGGUGGCCCUGGUGACCUGUAGAGACAUGGCUAGAUCCACCGUCCA